UCGGGAAAAUUUUGCAAUACACGAAAGUGUGACAGAGCAAGCCAGAGUGCUUUUCCGUAUUAGGAACAGCUUUUGUGAGAUGUAAAAAGUCUCACGAAUAAGGACUGGGCAAGACUGGUGCCAGCCGCCGCGGUAAUCCCAGCAGUCCGAGUCGCAGCCACAAUUGUUGGGUCUAAAACAUUCGUAGCUUGCCUUUCAAGUCUUUUGUGAAAUCGGGCCUCUUAAGGGUCCGGCGUGCAAAGGAUACUGUUUGGCUAGAGACCGGGAGGCGCAAGGAGUACAGACGGGGUAGCGGUAAAAUGUGUUGAUCCCAUCUGGACUAACAAUCGCGAAGGCACCUUGCGAGAACGGAUCUGACAGUGAGGAAUGAAGGCUAGGGGCGCAAAGUGG
rnacentral:rRNA from 1 species